GUCCAGGGAUGGGAAUCGAACCCACAGUGUUCUGCUUACCGGGCAGAUACCAUGUCCAUCCACCAGGGUAGCCUAGUGGA